rnacentral:rRNA from 1 species
CCCUUAGAUGUUCUGGGCCGCACGCGCGCUACACUGAUGCACUCAACGAGUCUAAAACCUGCUCUGAUAGGGGUGGGUAAUCUUUUGAAUGUGCAUCGUGAUUGGGAUAGAUGAUUGCAAUUUUUCAUCUUCAACGAGGAAUGCCUAGUAAACGCAAGUCAUCAGCUUGCAUUGAUUACGUCCCUGCCCUUUGUACACACCGCCCGUCGCUCCUACCGAUUGAAUGAUCCGAUGAAUAUCAUGGAUUGAGGAUGCAAGCAGGUUCGCCUGUCUUCAUCUUCGAGAAGUGAAGUAAAUCUUAUCAUUUAGAGGAAGGAGAAGUCGUAACA